GACGAACCGGACAAACGUUAUUCGGAAUUACUGGGCUUAAAGGGUUUGUAGGCGGCCUUGUAAGUCAGGUGUGAAAUCCCUCGGCUCAACCGAGGAAUAGCGCUUGAUACUGCAAGGCUUGAGGGAGACAGGGGUAAGCGGAACUGAUGGUGGAGCGGUGAAAUGCGUUGAUAUCAUCAGGAACACCGGUGGCGAAAGCGGCUUACUGGGUCUCUUCUGACGCUGAGGAACGAAAGCUAGGGAGCGAACGGG
rnacentral:rRNA from 1 species